CGCUGCAGGAGGGUCCCCGCGGUAGGCCUUCAGUAAGCCGACAUGGAAGACGUCGUGGAGGCGAGAACCAACUGACAGCUCCAAGCGGUAUGCAAGUGUGCCGACACGCUCCAGCACACGAAAGGGACCGGCGUAGCGAGGUCCCAAUUUGCGCUUGGAGCGCGGGUCCAGAGACUGCGUGGUCCUGUGGAGGAGGCGCAGCCACACCCAAUCGCCCACCGCGAACUCCGUCUCACGAUGAUGAGCAUCGUAGUACUUCCGAGCCAGCUGCUGUGCUUGGAGAAGACGUUGGCGUGCCUCAGCCGGAAUGUCGUCGCGGGUGCGGAGUAAGUCGCCAGCCG
rnacentral:lncRNA from 1 species